GUACAUAUAUAUAGAUAUAUAUAUAGAUGUACAGGAAGCCAGAUAUGUAAACUGAGUAUAUACAAGGGAAAAAGGAGGUAUAAUUUAGUAUGUACAAACAAUGCAGUGAGAUCAAA